GCCAGCGUAGCUCAGCGGCAGAGCAGCGGUUUCGUAAACCGCAGGUCAUGGGUUCGAAUCCCAUCGCUGGCUCCA
rnacentral:tRNA from 1 species